UACGUAGGGGCCUAGCGUUGUCCGGAUUUAUUGGGCGUAAAGAGCUCGUAGGCGGUUCGGUAAGUCAGGUGUGAAAUCUCCACGCUCAACGUGGAGGCGCCACCUGAAACUGCCGUGACUCGAGUCCGGUAGGGGAGUGUGGAAUUCCCGGUGUAGCGGUGAAAUGCGUAGAUAGUGCGGAGGAACACCGAUGGCGAAGGCAAUCCCCUGGACCUGUACUGACGCUCAUGCACGAAAGCGUGGGGAGCAACAGG
rnacentral:rRNA from 1 species